GACGAACGCUGGCGGCGUGCCUAAUACAUGCAAGUAGGACGCUGUUGCGAACGGGUGAGUAACGCGUAGGUAACUACCUAUUAGAGGGGGAUAACUAUUGGAAACGAUAGCUAAUACCGCAUACUCGUAGAUGGACCUGCGUGGGAUUAGCUAGUAGGUAGGGUAAUGGCCUACCUAGGCAACGAUUCAAAGCCGACCUGAGAAGGUGAUCGGGCCCACUGGGAAUGAGACACGGCCCAGACUCCUAAGGGGGGGAGCAGUAGUGAAACUUCGGGAAAGGGGGGAACCCUGACCGAGCAACGCCGCGUGAGUGAAGAAGGUUUUCGGAUCGUAAAGCUCUGUUGUUAAGGAAGCGGUACUUAACCAGAAAGGGACGGCUAACUACGUGCCAGCAGCCGCGGUAAUAC
rnacentral:rRNA from 1 species